UCAUUCACAUUAGUUUAAUAUGUUGAGGGAAGUUUAAUGUUACUGAUACUUUUGUGAACUUUUGUGAAGUUUGACUCUUGAUUUUUUUUAGGAAGUUCAACACUAUUGACAUUUGUUGCUAUGAGGUUGAUUAUUUGGAAGGCUUAUUCACAGUUUUUGUUUGUAUCAGAAUUUAGAAAUGCAUCCAAUGGGAAGAUGAUAGCAUCAUAAAAUUCAAGGAGCCUUUCCAAUGUUUGAUGUGAUAUGAUGAGUACUUCUGCGUCCAGAAUUUGUUCCUUGCUGAACAAGGUACCACCUUGAAGGUAGAGAGCUGGGGUGAUGGAAAAGUGAGCAUGCCAAAGGAUAUGAAAUAUAAUAUCAACAAAUGAGAAAAAAAGACUGGAUUAGAGAGACGAUGAAAAUGGAUAUCCUAGCAGCUGUCUUUUCUACAUUGAAUACACAUGUUGCCUGGUCUCUGGCAAUCAUCCAAUCAUCAUCAUGUCAGGAAGAAAUAAAUUAUAUGUCAAAAAUGAGUCUCAGGCUGUGCUAUAGAUAUUAUCACAUGGACUUUCCCCUCACCAUAUAAGACUUCUUUUCCCACUGGAGUAAUUUAAGAUCAACCCAGCACAAGACCAAUUUAUUGCAAAAAGAAUGAUUGCCUCAUGAUCCAUGGUGCUAUGCCCCACCUGGGACUUGUCAGUUCUUUACUGCACACAGCUGCCUAAGCAUCUGCCUUAGCAUCGCUAGUAUUUGCUGUCCCUUGUGCUUCUCAACUAUCUUCAGAAAGGAACGCAAUAUGAAAUCAAAAGUUCCUGCAACAUUCCCAAUUUAGAUAAACUGAAGGUUUAUAGUUCAGUGCCAAAACUCUUUUGGGCUGUUCUGGCCAAGAAUUUUUAAUAUAAGAAUAAAUCUACCCCUUGGACCAAUGAUGUUGAUGCAAAUAAUUGUUGGGUUAGGUAUAUUUUAAGGACUUAUUUUAUAUUUUUGAUUCCUAAUAGUAUUUUAUAGUAAGAAGAUUUUUGUCUUAGCCCCAUGAAAUUCUCUUUUUGAAUUCAUAAAUGACCAAAUCAUUUUCUUUAUUUUGUCUCCAAACUUCCAGACUUCUCAUAGUUCUUUUCACCUCUCUAUCUUGCCUCUCCCAGACCUCUGGCCUGAUAUUCUAUAAUGUUUUUAUUUGUGAUUUCUUUCCACUAUCCUAGCCUUUAUGAACAAAUAAUCAAUUUGAUGACUUAGAAGAACUCAGUUAAUAACUCAAAUACAUCUUAUUAAUUAAAUUACAAUUGGGCAUGCGUCAUUCUUAAAUCUAAGAUGAAUAAUUGAAUUAAAUGCAAUUUUGAUAAUGUUUAAAAGUGAAGCCACCAGUUACAAAAUGGUGAUAAUCUUUUGGAGCCACAUAGCAGUAAAUAUGUGACUGUAAACACGUUCUACAUGACUAAAAAGCUCCUGACCCUGUCAAUGUGGGAGGACAUAAAAAGCAAUAUUCUGCAAUGAGUGGUGCUCACUCUAAUCCAGUGUUUCCCAAACUAUUUUUUUCAUUAUCACUGUGUCAGGAAAAUUUUGAGAUUUUUAACCUAAUCAACCACCCCAGAAAUUUUAAUCCUAUAUUGCAUAUGUGUAUAUGUACUGUAUGCAUAUCUGCACCUUCUAAAUAAAAAAGCUAAAAUUAUUUCUACUCCUAAAAGCCAAUUCAUCCCCUUUGGUGGUAUCUUCUUUACUUAGAAUUUAUGCACUCAUGUAAACUUAGGAUAUGCUAGGACAUAAAGUUCUAUCUCCAAAUCCAGAUAAUAUAGAGUCAAAGAUUUUUUGUUAUACUGUGUGUAACUGGGCUGUGGGAAAUGUAGCAAUUACACAGGUGACAGAGGCAGAUGGUACUGUAAGAACUAUCAGGCCAUGGCACUAACCUUGUAAAGUAUAGGAAAACAAUUACAAAGAUCAACAAAAUUAACCCCAAUAUAAAUCCUCCUGGACUACAAGACAGGUGAGUAGUUUCAUAUCAAAACAUCUGAUCUGGCUAUUGUUUGAUUUUGUAUGUAUAUAUAAAGGAAAAUCCUAAGACAUCUCUGAAUGUUCUAUCAAAUUAUUUAUUUUAGCAACCAGAAGACAGUAGUCUAUGAGAAUUAAUAAUCUAUAAACACAGAAACUAUAGGCAUGACUUCUUCACAUUUUAUUGUUCAAGGGAUAGAUAAGUGGAGAUGAGAUUCCAGCAGAGUGUAAUUUCAGUGUCCUGAAUGACUGGGAAAUAUUGCCUUAGAGGCUGGAAAGCCAACUUGGCCAGCAUCUACUGACAUUCACCUGUUUUGUCUUUACCUUUUGUCAGCAGGGACUUCAUUUGGGUAAUGCUUACACAGUCAGAGUCGGCCAACAUCUAGUGAGCUACUAUCUCAAACCUAGAUAUUCACUGAAAGAGAGACAGGAAAGGCAAUUCUACCUUCAGAAAAAAGCAAUAUGGAGUUAAAAGAACAUCAUGCAAGAAAAUGAGAAAGAAACCUUUUUCCAUAGUGAAAAAUACUUUUCAGCUAAAAGAAAAUUCUUAGAAUUUUUGAAGUCCAUUUUAAUUAUUGUAUUUCUUCUAAGUUAGAUAAUGGCAAUGUGGCCUUGUUAAUCAAAAGUCAUUGAACAGCUAGAUAUUAGCUGUUUCCUAUUAAGAAAAAAAUUAAGAUGUUAGUUCAGAGGCUGCUCGUACAUAGCCAUCAGGGAAUUAAAUUGUUUUCAUGUAUAAUUAAAAAGUGUGUUCUUCCAUCAAGAAGAAAGCUACAGCUUGCAUGCCAGUAAGUACUUAAUUGGAAAGAAAAUGGACCAAAUAGAACAAUUCUACUAUGAGAAAGAAAAGUUGUGAGAACUACAUCUGCAAUAAAUAAAUAUAUUAAUUACUCUCCUAUUACUUUGAGUGUCUGUAUAUUAAGAAUCCAGGCCAGGCGCGGUGGCUCAU
rnacentral:lncRNA from 1 species